UACGAAGGGGGCUAGCGUUGCUCGGAAUUACUGGGCGUAAAGCGCACGUAGGCGGCUUCUUAAGUCGGUGGUGAAAUCCUGGAGCUCAACUCCAGAACUGCCUUCGAUACUGGGAAGCUCGAGUCCGGGAGAGGUGAGUGGAACUGCGAGUGUAGAGGUGAAAUUCGUAGAUAUUCGGAAGAACACCAGUGGCGAAGGCGACUUACUGGACACAUAUUGACGCUGAGGUGCGAAAGCGUGGGGAGCAAACAGG
rnacentral:rRNA from 1 species